UGCACAGACCAGUUGAGAUCAAAGACAGGUCAAGGUAAGGGGUCACUUUGAAUAGGUGUGAGCAUGUGCAUGAUUGGUUGUUGGUCUCUCCACGUUUGCCCUGUAAUGGGCUUGGCAGUUGUUUGGGGUGAAACGAUAAGAUAAACCUUUAUUCAUCCCACAGUGGGGGGAUUUUCAGCACAGCAAACAUAGAGCACCCUGCCUCUGGUCCUACUGCUGGGAGAGAGGUUAGGAAAAUGGAUCAGUGGAAUAUUACAGGAAGAAAUUGAGAAAAAUAUGACAAUAAAGUAUAUUAUAAUAAAUAUAUAUUUUUUUAAAGUUAACCAUCCUAAAAUUGGAUGAAUACUAAUGUAGCCUGUGAUUUACAUUGUUACCCUUAAAUUCCACAGCAUGUGAAACGGCAGCAAUAUUCGCCGUUUGCCAAAUCAUACCGGAUGCACUUGUGACGCAAUUUUUAUGGCGAAUUUCGGACAGCGGGAAUCAAGAGGACUCAAAAAGGACAAAGAGGACAAAUUUACAUGCAAUCAUGCGAUAACGAGUUGUCUCUAUAAAGACAUCCACAUAACCUUAAAGUCAGUAGAUUGUGUCCUGAAAUUGAAAUCUACUCUGUCUAGAACAGGCAGAUCAGACACUUGUGUAGAGACUAGGAAUUUACCACGGGUAAGUGCAAUAUUUAUCUUUAUCUUGUUCAUCCCCACCCAUGUUUGCAUGGUGUGAAAUAUUAUCUGCUUGCAACUCGUAGUGUUUUAUUUUGAAAAGGAGACAGAUGUUUUAUUUUAUCUGUGCCUGACUUCCUUUCCAGCACAGGCUAAUCUGUGCUGAAUUUAUGCCGUGUCUAAAAAAAACAGAAUCCUGGCAAUCAAAUACAAAGCCUGCUGAACUGCAGGGGGCCAAAAAGAAGCCAGUGGAAUUUGACACAUGAACGGCCUUUUCGCCACCAUUCCGCAUGCAGUGGAAUUUGGGGGUGAGUCUGCUGGUGUCAGAGUGCUCCAGAGUACCUGGAAAUUAGUUCCAGAUAACAAUCACCCAAGAAGCUCCUCCCCCAAGAUUCAGGUUCAAAAGUAAGGGAACUGCUUCAGUCUCCAGUUUGUGGUUAAAUGGUUUAGGACUCUACACUCUCAGGGUUCACUCAAGAUCAACUCUCUUUUUAUUGUUGAAUGACACUGAAAUUCAGUCCCAGAAAUUCAAGUAAGAAAGUCAAACCAUAUGUUUUUUUUUUUUUUAUCAUCUUUUUCUCUUCUGCCCUGGUCGGAGGCUGAAAAUAGGGGGAAAAUAAGGGUUACAAGCCUGUCUUUGAUGGAAAAUGCCUUCUGGAGCACAGCUGAACACUAAUCUGUGUGGCAGAUGCACCAGAGAAGCGCACAAGUCAUAAAAACAAGGCAUCUGCCAGGGGCCUUGUACUGAAUCACUGCACUAAACGAGAAAUGUAUUAAUAAGAGAGAAUUUGCUUGCUCAUGCAAUCUGUGCAGAUGAACUUGAACGAGAUAAAUGAGAGGCAUCCAGUACUUCCUUCAAUGUGCCCUUGCAGUAUUAUUACUCUGGGAUUUGGCUGAUGAUGUCCUCAUUCUGAGUGACUUGUAAUGAAUGAACAAGUAGACGUAGAGAGUCUCACUCAAGGACAACAGGCGACACUUUCUUCCUCAUCAGGAAGCUGACAGGAUCUGGUCUUUGUUCCAAUGUAACUUUUAUUUUAUUUUUUUUUACAACCAAACUACACUCAUUCAUCAUGUCAAACACCAACACACUCAUGUGGCUGCUCUGAAUAUGACUCACAUGGUCCCUCAACAUAGAAUUAACAGCCAUGAGCUGCCAUAACAAUACGUCUGACACUGCAGUGAGCUGGCAGCCAAUCAUGAGUGCAUUUACAUCAGUACUCAGACUUUAUCAGGGGGGUGAUGGUUUGGACUCUUUGUAUCAUUUGAAAAAUAAUGAGAGCUUACUAAGGAUCUACAGACCAAGUCAACUUGAUGAGUUGAGACUGUCAUCUUUGCUGGAAAUAAGCUACUGUGAUAAUCUGAGUGGAAAAAACUAUAAAAAAGAAACAUCAAAGUCCACAGGAAGUGUGUGAUACAUUGAACAGAAAGGGUUGGUUUCAGCUCCUAAACAUGUGGUGCUAAUGAAAUGAAGUGCACAUGCACCCUGUGGGUUUUAUGUAUCAGCCUCUCUUUAGUGGCUACAAGUAGUUUAGGUUCUGAUCCAUUUGAGGAGAAAUGCACUACCUUGCAUCAGACAAUAGGGGCAUCAUCAGUCUAUUGGGAUCUACGGACACCAUAUCUGGGAGGAAAUAAGGCAAACAGCCACACCUGUCAUCCUCACCUGUCAGCUAACUUGGCACACUCUGUAGCAUGCAAUUUUACUCUUCUGUUUAAUAUAUUCAAAAACUGUGAAUUAAAUAUCAUUCUUGCCCUAAUACAGAGCAUAAACACAUGAACGAAGCGUUCAGACCAAACCUUUGUUUGCAGCAGGCUGCAAACAUUUUUCAUCCCACAGGAUGAAAUGGACAUUUUCUCUCAAGUGUUGAUUGGAUACUCAGGCGUUUGCGGCCAGACUCAAGUGGACACUCAUGAAAAUACAGUUUGUCUCACUUCCAUAUUGGCUUCAUUUCCCAACACCUGAGCCUGCUGCUUGUUGUUUUCCAGAGCCUUGACCUUUCUAUUCAGCAUCACGCUUAAAUGUACCAGUUGUGAUUCUGCUCAGUGAACAAAAGUUGUCUCAUUCAGCCACAGGACUGGACCAGGAUUAAUCUGUCUGUGCUGAAGACAGUGGUGCUGGUGAAGGUUCAUCUAUCUCCAUCUAGCUCUAUCUGAUAUUAUCUCCAGAAGAAACUCUGAGAAACACAUUUGUACUACAGGAGGGAUCUGACGUAUUGGACAUAGUAAAAGUUUGCUCCAUCCUCAUCUGCUUUCAUUCCUUAUUUCUCUCAACCGGGACUGAUCAAGAUUCAAGAUAAACCAAAAGGACUUUUGAAGAGCAUGAUGGGUCAGUCUUAAAUUCGAUUUGGACAGCUGUGCAGUAAAGUCAAUCAAAGACAGGGUUACCUCCAUAUCCUUGUGUUUCCACCACCAGCAGUAGCAGCAGCUCAGUAAAAUGUUUUUGCUCUGGUCAGUGAAGGCCAGCAGGUUACUCCCCGCACAGCUCUCUUAUGUGGAUAUUACACACCAGAUGCAGUUUUCGUAACUGGCAAUUGUAUUCUCCAAGAGGUCAGUUCUUUUUUACCCAACCUGGCAACACAGAAAUACAGCUCUGAGCUUGUCUAUUACCAUCUUGAUACUGACCCUGCUUCUGCAAGAUGAGAGCUUACCUGGAAAUAGACCCCAGCAGUGCCAGAGACAUGCUUUUCAGAGAGAGCUCCAGUGUAAUACAUUAUCUCCUGCAGUUGGACUGAGUCUAUUUCUACCACACGCUGGUCCUUUGCCAAUAUCUCUCGCUGGGAUAAGAGAUAAAUUUGUUUAGUGGUGAAGUUUUGGUCCUCUUUCUCACACAGUUAGAAGGAGGUUUGGCAUUUUCAGCAGUCUUAAGGGGCUCGAAGACACCUGGUGACUCCAGUUUAUUUUAUCGUUGCCAAUAGUCUCAUUACCUGAAUCUCACAACAUGUGCAGCAGCAGAAGAAGCAGCAGCAGCACACAUUAUUAGUGCCUAAGUUAAAUCUGUGCUGCAGAAAGGAGGGUAAAUCAGCGCGGUGUGAUAAUGCUCCCCUGAAAUCUAAUUAUUUUGGGAUGUUUCUGUGUUCCAGCUUCAUGCUACCUGUGGCAGCAGACUGCCUGAUUACUGACUCUGCUUUUAGUGGCAGUGUGGCAGGAUCAUUAGGAGUAGCUCACUCGGUCAUGUCAUGGGGAAAACACACACUGUACAAAGCCACAGCUCACUGCCUGGACCAAUUGUUCAGUCAGAAAGGAAAUGGGCCAAGCUCUAGAAAUUAUGAGACAGCAUCAGCUGCUGGGUCAUGUUUUCGUCAGUCUGUACCCGUGUGACUAUUAGGAGAAUGACUCCGUAAGACACUUUCUUUCUUUCUUUCUUUUAUGUUUAUUUAUUUGUUUAUUUAUUUAUGUUCAGAACUCACCUUGAACAUCACUUAUGCAACCAAAGAAAAAAACACUAUAGAGAUAUACAACCCAAUUAUGUUGUAUUUUAGUGGGAAUCUGCUGUCUGACAGAGAUCCAAUUGAUAAUUAGAUUAAUUUAAAAUAUUGACCUUGGAUUGUCAUUUCUUGGAUCAUAGCACUGUUUGUUUUGGUGUGUUUUAUUGGGCAUAGUAUACUGAUGAUCUUGUUGUCCUUGUGUUUUUCAGGUUUUCGUGUUUCCUGUUUUGUUUUGUAGUCUUUUAUCCUGGUGUGUGUAGUCCACUUUACUUCCUGUGUUUUCCCUGCUUUUUUAAGGGCUUUUAUUCAUCUCACCUAUGUCUUGUGUCCCAACUGUAUGCUUAUUUUAUUGUUUUGACAUAAUAUUAACAUAUCAUUUUACUAUAAAGACAUAUAUCAUCAGUGCCAGUAUAUCGUAACAUUGUUUAGUCAUCUCUACACUUCCUGCAGGUCUUAAAUCGACACUAUGGCAACUACUUGUACUGGUUGUGCUUCACAUUUCAUGAAUAGAUCUUUGGUGUAAUUAGGUUUUUAAAUGUGACUCGAAAGAAGUUGUGUUAAAACACUUUUUUUUUUUUUUGGCACAUUUUGCAAGUGGCAGUUGUUAUCCUCCUCUGAAACAAUGACAGACAUACAGACAUGUGAGGCCACCAUUAUUCCCUGUCAGAUGCUUGUCUUCUUCUGUGUCUGUGCCGCUGAAUUGCACAUCUCCCACUGUAGAGUCAGAGUGAAUAAGGUUGUUGAAAAGCAAAUCAACAUUUUUUCUUUUGUUUAAUUGGAUUAAACUGUAUUAUUAUAAUACUGACAAUAAAAUAUCCCUGUUCCCAGUGAUACAGAUUAUGCAUCCCUAUUGUAUACCUAAUUUUUCUUUGGUUUUACAUUUUUAUAUUGGAUUUAAAGAUGACUUUUGUUCCUUUAAUAAGAUGAAUGUCUCUACUGCAGCAGCUGCCAUGUCAUGGGGAACACAAAAGAACAAAACUGCUGAGGUGUCGUAAUGUCUACAUGCAUGGCCCCCUGCCUUUCACCACUGUUGUACUGCUGUAAUAUUGAUAUUGUUUGUGUUGUGAGGCUGCAGAACAGAGGUGUUGUUACCCACCAUCUGGCUCUCAGGCAGGAAGCAGACUAGUUGAUUAAAGGGCACAAUUAUCACAGAGCAGGUUAGACCGAGUCCCUCAGCAGGGUCUAAAGGAGGCACCUGGUCAAUCGGACACUCUUGCACAGAGGAGCUUUCUCAUCCAAUCAGACAGCAGGGACGUGGUGACAGCUGAGGGAGUUCUUCCCCUGUUAGCUAUAAGAAUUAUCAGACACAUGAUAUCCAGCACCAGAUUUCAACACAAAUUCACCACUGCUGCUAUUUCACCUUAGAAUCAAGCCGAGUCCUGGAGGUCAAAGUUUUGCUCAUUGCUAAAUUUAGUUGGCAGACCUCACCUCUGAAUCCCACCGCAGCCGUUCAUGUGGAGCAAGUCUGACACGAUGUUCUGCCCUCAGUUUUUAAUUAAAAAACUCUCAGGACAUCACAGAGACAGAGUCCUCUUGUUGGCCGGUCAGUCUCAAGGGACAGAUUUGUUGGUUGUUAGCAGCAGCCCCAUCACUGGUGGUUCAAUUGACUUUCAGUCUGCUCAGUUUCUGCUUUCAGUCAACGUUUUUUCUGCCAGAACCCAGAUCUCCAGGGGUCACUUAACCUGGAAGAAAACUUCAGAACAAAGGGUGUCAGUCCUGAUCUGUCUCUCCUGCUGUGCUCCUGUAUCUCUGCAGUGCUUGACAACAACAUUACAACAUCAGACCAAAUCACUCCCAUAAUUACCAUUUUCACCAUCUGGCUGGUUCAGGAGAGGAUUCUGGAGAGGAAAGCACAAAGGGUAUCCUGUGUGUGUGUGUGUGUGUGUGUGUGUGUGUGUGUGUGUGUGUGUGUGUGUGUGUGUGUGUGUGUGUGUGUGUGUGUGUGUGUGUGUGUGUGUGUGUGGCUCCAUACAAGGAUUCUGCAAAAAGAAACCAUGACAACGUGGUUGUUACCUCCAAUCCAUCACAAUCUGCUGCAGGUGUGUGUGUGUGUGUGUGUGUGUGUGUGUGUGUGUGUGUGUGUGAGAGAGAGAGAGAGAGAGAGAGAGAGGGUGUAUUUGAUUGUGUGUGUGAGUGCACUCAGUGAUAAACCAAACAAAGGCUCUCUGUCUUUGUCCUCAGUCUUUUCACCUCUCUGUCUCCCUGAGGGCUGAAAGAGACAACCUGAGCCUUGGUGAUAUCCUCACACAGAUUUUCUCUGUCUGUCUGUCUGUCCGUCUCUCUGUCUCUCUCUGUCUCUCUCUGUCUCUCUCUCUCUCCUCAUAACGUUAAACUGAACAUUAGUUAACUUUAACAUUACUGGUAAAAAUAACAAGGAAAGUUGGUUUUAUUUCUUAAUUUAGAUUCUCUCUAAUUUUCUUGAAGCUCCUCUGAAGAGCUCUUUUUGGUUAAUCAAAUAGACUUAAAUCCAUAUGGAUGCCCUUUUAUGACAUACAAAAACAAUUUAAAGUAUUGGUAACCAGAUUACUGGCUUUUAAGUGGUAAUUUUGAAUCUUUGGGACUGGUGAGAGGGGUAGGUCUCAGCCAAGUAGCUGAAGAGAAAGCUCUGUUUUAACAUUUUUCACAUAAUAUAAUAGAAAAUGAUUCAUUUGACUCUUAAAAGUUGGCAGCAUGAGUCUUAUUCCUCCCCAUCUUUCUCUCUUUUAUUAUCUGCCCAUCCCUCCCUCCGCCUUUCUCUAUCUUACUUUAAUUUCCAUUACUAUAAAUGUCUCUCAGAGCAAUUCUAACCCAAACAGCUUUACCAAACAAAUAUCUCCCAGCUUUGUCCUGGGCCUGCUCUCAACAGUCUGUGUGUGUGUGUGUGUGUGUGUGUGUGUGUGUGUGUGUGUGUGUGUGUGUGUGUGUGUGUGUGUGUGUGUGUGUGUGUGUGUGUUUAUAUAAGUAACCUCUCGGGAUCAUAUUCAUAAUAACUUCCUUUUAUUCAGUGUGUCCGUGUCCCAUAUCAAUUAUUUAAUCUUACUGAGCUGUGAAUGUUUUCUGCUCUCGGCUCAGUUCCUGCAUACUGCUGCGUUUCAGCUGGUUUGUAUACCUGUUUGUGUGUGGGGGUGUGUGUGGGGGUGUGCAUGUGCGUGUGUCUGUCUGUGUGUGUAUGCUCAUUGAGUGAUGCAUGUUUGAUUGUGUGUGCAUCAGUGAGCAUUACAUAUUGUGUUGGACCCACACAGUAUGUUGGCGAUGAGCUUGGUCUAUACGGGUCCUCAUUCAUAUUCAUAAACAUUUCUGAAUGAAAUAAAUGCUCAAAGCAUUGCUCUGUGACAGGAAGUUUAAAAUUAGAGGGAAAUAUUGCUUGGUCUGCUGGUAAUAAAUUUUUGUUCUGCUGUUUGCAGUCUCCUGAAAAAUGAAGAUGACGCUGGUCUCUCUCAUUUACUGGCUCUGCUGAGUCUCUGUCCACCAUGUGGCCCCACUGCAACCAGCCGCUGAUCCUUUAUAUCACAGCGUGUGUCUCACCCAGUGUCCACUAUGAGACACAUUUGGAAACAAGUUCAUUUAUUUCAUGGAAUGGGAAUCUUACGCUGCCUUUUUUUAGACAUUUAAAAAAACACAACACUUUAAUUAAGAUUAAGUCAGGGUGAAAUAAAAAAUGGACGUAAUUACAAAGUCAACCGAUGAAGUAACAAGACUCAUCCAUUAAUUUGGUAAACAAUGAGCGUGGUCUAGACCUGCUCUUUUUGAAAAGGGUCUUGGGAUAAUGACUGCUGUGAUAUUGCACUAUAUAGAUUAAAAAUUGAUUGAUUGAUUAAUUGACUACACAUCAGGAGAUCUACUUUAAAGCUUAAGGGUAUAAUGGAGAGCUCAUGAAUAGCUAUGCGGUCCAGUCCACCAUGUCCAAGAAUCAGUAUAAGGGUCGCCAUAUCUUGCAAAAGUUUUUACACCCCUUUUCCUGCCAGUAAAGCCCGGUUUAUACAUCUAUGUCAGUGCUAUGCUCAGAGCCUGACAUGCACCUCCCAAAAAAAGAGAUACAAUAAUUUGUCAUAAUGAACUGCAAGCUCUGUGAUUGGUCCACUUAAAGGUGAGGUAGACAGGGUCUGAGGAAGAGCCAGUUUUGGGGAAAAAUCUUGAUUGCAAACACUACCCCUCCCAACCAGUUUUCCUGUCAGCUCUCUGCUCCAGCAAGCCCCGCCCACAAACAGACGCUUGUUCUUGCUUGUAUCACUUCAAUAAAAUUCAGAUAUAAUGCAGAUAAAUACUUUAGAUAAUUACAAAUGGGUCCCAGUCAACGUGAAAGUAAAGAGCAUUGGUGCUACUGUAGAUCAAAUCAAAUCAAAUCAAACUUUAUUUAUAUAGAACUCUGUGCUGCAUUUCUUUUUGCCUGAAAAGUGUUUUACAAUUUAAAACAAUGAGCCCCCCUAUAUCCAUCCCGCCAUCCCACCCCCCCAACCCUCACCUAGAGCCCAACCCAACACACACACACGCACACACACGCAUGCGCACGCACGCGCACACACACACACACACACACACACACACAAAUAAUGCAAUCUUAAAGCGUGUGGCUGAGUACAGAGGAGCCAAGUCAGGAAAUGUUAGGAGGCCGACUGCACUGGAGGCUGCUAAUGGCCCAGGGCCAGGACACCUCCACCCGAGUGCGCAUCCCGCUACAGGCCAGUAAGGGGCCCACAGCAGCAAGCACUGCUGCAGACCACCACCUGGCUGAGCUGAGUGCACACCACGAGGCAGAGAAACCCUAGACAGAACCAGUCACUGCCUCCAGUGCAGAUGCCAACAGAAUACCAGCAAACACAAUGUUUGCAGGACUUCUACAACUAGGAUAAAGUGACAUAGUCCAGGACCCGAGGUCAACAGUUUAGCAGCACUACAACACGCAGCAGGUCCUGUUUGACAAGACACACGUGAAACAUCUCCUCCUUUUCCUCUUUAUUAUAAUUUGAGCAUCAUCAACUACUGCCCAACAUUUAUCUGCACUAAUGUACUGGUGAUACAACAAGCAUAGACAUCACAUCACAGACAGUGUUUUGAUGAAGUAUUGUAAUAUGAUGCAGACAUUCUCAUAAGUACAUAGUGCUGAAGAUGGCAUGGUCCACUGUGGUGUAGAGUUACAAACCAGGCCUCCGUCAUCAGUUAUAGGUUGUUAGUUUUAGAGAAUCAUAGGGAUGAUUAUUUGGAUGCUUUUCCUGAAUUGUGAUGUGGAAACACUAAUAACAUGCAUCACGUAAAAGCAAAUAUUUAGGUGAAAAUUCACUGAUAUAGCGCUCAUCCAUCAUCUGACCAUUUCAACAGUUUAGCUCAGUAAAUGUCAUGAUAUUGCAUAUUAUAAUGUAGCUUUCAUUUCAUUGGCUUUUAAACUGAUGAAUGUUUGGCCGCUGAGUGGCUCUGUAGGAAAUGCACAGUGGGGAAAUCAUCCAAGGAGAAUACUUAGCUACUGGCUAUAAGCUCCUAUUCCCUUUUAACUCAUCUCUCCAUCUGGCUAGCAAAGCUCAUGCUUUAUUAUGAAGCUGGGUAUUCACACGCUGCCUCCAUAUUUGAAGGUGGUGUUUACCUCCCACAUGACGCUAAUGGGAGUGGAGCUGUGAAGCCUCCCACAGGUGUGAGAGAUGUCCCCAACUAUCUUUAGGAGGACUUUUUGCAUGUAAGGACGGGCUGAUGAAAUACAUUUAGGCUGUAAGAACAGAGUGUUCCCUCUGAGGUAACUGCAGCAGCAACUUCAGCUGAUGACUGGGGAGUCUUUUAUUACGGCGUGGUGCAGGAAAUCACAGAGGAGAGCACUCAUGCUCUUUUAAUAUAUUUUUCUUAAAAACUUUUGAAAUGUCUUUGAAAUCCAGAAAAAACUCAAGUCAUUUGUGAUGUAUAAAUGAGCCCUUUGCCAAAUAGUUCUGUGGUUGAGUGACUAUUGGCAGAAUGACUUUUUUCCUCUCUGAUAUAGUUGCAUCUACACUACAGGCCAAAAGUUUGGAAGCAAGACCAUUACAGGCCAAACAGUUGGGAGUAACUUCAAGUUUUUGUUCACAAUGCUUUUUUUUUAAAUCCAGCUUGAGUUUUAUGUAUUUUGGGAUUUAUUUACUCCAUGAUCAGAUGUUGCUUUCAUGGAAAUGCACCAUUUUACUCCAUUUACCUUUAGAUAUACAUUGAUGUUAACAGACCAUUGCUAAAUAUAUGUCAGCAAAAGAUAGUAAGGGCUUAGUUUUAGGGUUGAAAACAUAACACAUCUGUAUGGGAAUGUUUUGCAGGGGAUGGAAUAGGAGAAUUUUUUGAAGUAAAGAGUAUCACGAAGAAGGAACAGUACCACUCCAUCCUCCAGCACCAUGCUGUUCCAUCUGGACUCAGACUUGUGGCUCAUAAGUUUGUUUUGCAGCAAAACAGUAACCCUAAGCACUCUGCCAAGCUCUGUCGGGGUAACCUAGACAAAAAAGAAGAGGAAGGUGUUCUUCAAAAGAUGGUUUGGCCCCCUCAGUCUCCAGACCUGUCUCAAUUGAGCCUGUGCGGGAUAAAUUCGAUCGAUCGAUCAGAAAAACGCGUCCCACGAAUCAGCAGUCUCUUUUUAAUGAACUUAAGAAAGCUUGGAAUGCAGUCCCUGGAACAUACCUCAAAAAAACUUGUGGAACGAAUGCCUGGUAUAUGCCAAGCUGUUGUUAAAGCCAGAGGAGGUUACUUUAAAAAAAGCAAGGUCUAAGCAACAAUAACUCAAAGACCUAAUAAUUAUAGUCAAAAUGUCUUCUGAUAAGUUACUCUUUACACAAUAGUCAUGUUUAUUGUGUUGCAAAUUAUAUAUAUGAAACUAUGAUCGUUUUUUGUACAAAUCUGAUCUUGCUUCCAAACUUUUGGCCUGUAGUGUACAUGAUUAAAUUUUGUGAAUUUAACAUGAUGGAUCAGGAGUAGUUUGAUUCUGUGUUAGAGGAGCCAAAAAAACAAAGUAGGAUUGGAAAACAGUGUGAGCAAAAAUCUACUUUUGACUUUAAUAUGACUUACAUGCAAAGAUUUAGGGAUCAGCAGAAACUGGGACAAAUAUUUAAUAUAAUAUCUCUCAAGAAAAACUAACUGUGUAAAUCCAGUUAGCGGACAGGUGGGCAUUUACACAAGUGUUUUGACUUGAUGGAGUUUAUCCAAUGUUUGGAUUGUGUAGGUGCAACAGAGCGCUCUUAAAAUGUAAAAUGAGACCAUUAAGCUCAGGUUAUUUUCUCCUCUCUUCUUUCUUCAGGUCGGUUAGGUGUCCUAAACCUUCUGAGCAGCUGUUUUACCUUUUAAGGACCCCCUUUUAUUUAUUUUUUUUUAAUACGUUUUCACGAUGAGAACAGAGCUCUCCCACUGAGAUCACGGCGGCAUCUCUCUCAGCUCGCAGCUUGAAAUUAAACAACAGAUCUUAAGUCUGCAUGAGGGAGUCAGAGAGUGGAUGAUAUUCCUUUCUGAUCCAUGCUUUUACAUUCAAUUUGAAUUUAUAACCCAAGAGCGGCAGAGUAACUGAGUACAGUAACUCAAUGAACUGAUUGAUUUCACUAUUACAGGAACAAAACUAUUACAUCUGUCAUCAUUUGUCGACAUGUGCAGGCUCUCUGAUGUUUCAGAAAUCAGCUUGGAUUUAAAAAUCUAAUUUGAGCAGGGUUUUAGUCUAAUGUGAGGAAUAACAAGGUUGAUCUGUCAGCGUAAGGGUACUAAACACAGUGGCCCUUAUUUAUCAAGCUUGCGUACGGCAGAAAACUCACCUACGCCUUGCGUACGCAAGUUGUGACAUGAGGAUUGGCAUUUAUCAAUCUGCACGUGAGUGUACGGUACGACCAAAUCUCACGACAGGUCUGACAUCGUGUACGCAAGUUUGAGUCAGUGCAGGUUUGCGGUGCAGCAAAUGUCUGUCUCAAAAUAAUUAAUAAACAAACCUCAAACCUGUCAUUAAGUACAAUCAGCCAGAUUUCAUUAAAGAUUAAGACAUAAAAUAAAUAAAAUAAAUUUGUUAUGUCCUCAGUGAAUAGGCCUAUUUGAUAACUCUGCCCAGAAACACUGCCACAGAGCAGGAGCACUGUUUUAAUAUUACGCACACAUAUUGCGCUGCGUUUGACUCCUAAAAGGCAGGUGUCUCUGUCUUGGCCCAGCAGCGGGGACGUUGUUGUACUCCCUGAAAGGGUGUGGGACAUCAUUUCGGCCAGUACAGUUUUGCACAAAUUUGCAGUGGCGAACGGAGUGCCAUUGGCUGUGCCGGUGCUACGCGAGGACCGAUGCCCAGAGAACAAUACCGAGGAGAGACUCCACAAAGGUGCUGUACAGAGGAGACAGGACCUUAUCCAUGGAUUCUGAUGUAAAAUAUAAGUUUAGAAAGUGCUCUUGCUAUUUAUUCUGUGAUAAAAAUCAAAUAGUAAUCCAUAAAAAUGUGCCUCAGGGGCAGCAACAUACCGUUUGGUGAGGUUUUUGUUCAGCCUCUGUCAGACUCUCCAGUCUGCUCUACAUUACAAAGACGCAACAAAUUAAAACUAAAUACUUUCAGUAAUAGGAGCAACGUACCCUAUGUCAUGUCAAUAAAAAAAUAUGAGGCAUGUAUGAGAUAUUUAUUCUUCAUCAUACUGACUAAUGAUUUAUUCAAACUUCAGCCACUGUCCUCUGUUCCGCAGCAGCGCUGUUCAGCGCCACCAUAAUCCUGCUCCAGACAGGAGUUUUCUGGACUGCUUUUAUACCAGUUUUGAUGCUUCCAAAGAGCAAAUCCUUGUUAGUUUCCACCACAGAUGUGAGAAUAUCCACUUUCAGCUUGGAAAAGUUUAGAAUCUUUCUAAUAUUUCUCCUCUUUCAUGUUUGACCUCAGUGGGCGAGGCUUCUGAACCACGAAUAUUUAAGGGCGUAAACAUGUUAAUGACGAUUGAUUUCAGCUGCCGCAUUUAUCAAGACCCGAUCAUACGUACGCUGGGAUUGGUCAGAUGCAAACCCUUUCAUAAAUCUCACGUGUGUCCUAUCGUACGAUGAAUCCUGCGCUCAGUUCUACGCAAGAUUAAUAAAUGAGGGCCGGUUAAACAGAGGGAGUGCAAGACUGAGCUAAAACAGGAGUGAGAAUUUCCUAUUGCUCACAUCCGGUGCAUCUAAACAAAUGUGACUGUAUUAGGGAAUAACAAGAAAUUAAUAAAUAGAAAUGGCAUUCAAACACAGUCAUAAAUAUCAUCCAGUCUUUAUUUGCAGCUUUAAUAAACCUUAAAAGAGGCUUCACUCCUCUCUCUUAUUUGACUUGUUAUUCCUCGUCUCCUGCUCACAGCCUGAGCGUCGGAUGAAUCCACUCUGCCUCUGAGGACACUCUGUGCAGUGACUGAGCUGCUGAUGAAUUCCAGCUGUUCCUCAUCCUUCUUGUGACUGUGAUAAUGUGAACCACUGUGCACAUUAUCACAGUCAAAUAUGGCCUUCUGUGACUCUGCGUGUUGAUCUGUGUUUUAUCUGCAUCAUAAUCAUGUCAGGCAGGGAUAGUUUCUUUUCUUCUUCUUGUGUUUAAGAUGCAAUAAGAUCCUCUGGAUAUGGAGCAAAACACUCUGACCCUCUAUUUCUGUCUGAAAAUAUCCUCCUUUAAAUGAGGAGAAAACAGCAGAGUACUUCAGCUACACUUACUGUCGUCUGUUCAUCAUUUUAAGAUGCAACUUGCUUCACGUCUUCUCACUGACAUGGUUUCAUUAUCCCAUCUGUUCCAGGAACCAGCUCUGUGUCAAGCUGGCAUCACACCAGACCAUUGUAGAUGAGAUCUGGGACCUGAUUCGCCACUCCUGAUGAUUGGGAGGGUGCAGCCUGACUUCGAGCCUGCUUCUGACUGAUUAUUUGUCCAAAUAAUCAGUGGGUUUGUUGUAGACAUCUCUGACUGGAAACAAGCAUUUCUGCAAUCUGUAGAUUCACUUGUUGACAGACAUGACAUCUGGCCAAUCCAUCUGCUAUGCAGGGUUACUUCACAAGGAUCCGCCGAUAACUCUGAAUCAACAAAAGUCAUAUGCUCAUACUUAAGUUGUUUGAGAUCUGUCUUGCCAGGUGAAUGGAUUUGGAACCCAAGCCAACAGUCUCAGAGAAGAUACCAAUGAUGGGAGUUCAGACUCUUCUUUUCAGCAUGG
rnacentral:lncRNA from 1 species